AACGAACGCUGGCGGCAGGCUUAACACAUGCAAGUCGAACGCCCCGCAAGGGGAGUGGCAGACGGGUGAGUAACGCGUGGGAACAUACCCCUUUCUACGGAAUAGCUCUGGGAAACUGGAAUUGAUACCGUAUACGCCCUACGGGGGAAAGAUUUAUCGGGGAAGGAUUGGCCCGCGUUGGAUUAGCUAGUUGGUGGGGUAAAGGCCUACCAAGGCGACGACCCAUAGCUGGUCUGAGAGGAUGAUCAGCCACAUUGGGACUGAGACACGGCCCAAACUCCUACGGGAGGCAGCAGUGGGGAAUAUUGGACAAUGGGCGCAAGCCUGAUCCAGCCAUGCCGCGUGAGUGAUGAAGGCCUUAGGGUUGUAAAGCUCUUUCACCGAUGAAGACAAUGACGGUAGUCGGAGAAGAAGCCCCGGCUAACUUCGUGCCAGCCGCCGCCGUAAAAC
rnacentral:rRNA from 1 species